rnacentral:SRP_RNA from 1 species
CCUAGGAAGCUGCACCGCUUCCUGUCGGCCUUGACACAUUUCCUGUGUCCUUAUGUUUACAAGGGGGAGACAAGCACCUCCACCCAGCUAAGCCUGCAUCCAGAGACAUGUUUCUGAGUCUUUGCUCGUCAUCAGUCUGGAGUAGCUGGGUGGAGGUGCUUGUCUCCCCCUUGUAAACAUAAGGACACAGGAAAUGUGUCAAGGCCGAUAGGAAGCGGUGCAGCUU